rnacentral:rRNA from 1 species
AACGAACGCUGGCGGCGUGGAUAAGACAUGCAAGUCGAACGCUGAUCUUUAAAUAGCAAUAUUUAAAGGUUGGAGUGGCGCAAGGGUGUGUAACACGUGGGGUAAUUUGCCUUAAAAGAUUGGAAUACCUCGCUGAAAGGCGAGCUAAUGCCCGAAUGUGAUUGUCAAAAAGCAUUUUAUGACAAUGAAAGCUGGGGAUCGUAAGACCUGGCGCUUUUCGAUAAGCCCGCGGCCUAUCAGCUAGUUGGUGAGGUAAUGGCUCACCAAGGCUAAGACGGGUAACUGGUCUGAGAGGACGACCAGUCACACUGGAACUGAGACACGGUCCAGACACCUACGGGUGGCAGCAGUCGAGAAUUUUUCACAAUGGGGGAAACCCUGAUGGAGCGACGCCGCGUGGGGGAUGAAUGGCUUCGGCCCGUAAACCCCUGUCAUUUGUGAACAAUGCGUCCAUUAAAACAUAUAGGACGUUGAUAGUAGCAGAAGAGGAAGGGACGGCUAACUCUGUGCCAGCAGCCGCGGUAAUACAGAGGUCCCAAGCGUUGUUCGGAUUUACUGGGCGUAAAGGGUGCGUAGGCGGUUAAGUAAGUUUGAAGUGAAAGCUCCAAGCUUAACUUGGAAAUUGCUUCAUAUACUAUUUA